UACGAGGGGGGCAAGCGUUGUUCGGAAUUACUGGGCGUAAAGGGUUCGUAGGUGGCCAACUAAGUCAGACGUGAAAUCCCUCAGCUUAACUGGGGAACUGCGUCUGAUACUGGAUGGCUUGAGUGUAGGAGAGGAAUGCGGAAUUCCAGGUGUAGCGGUGAAAUGCGUAGAUAUCUGGAGGAACACCGGUGGCGAAGGCGGCAUCCUGGACCAAUUCUGACGCUGAGGAGCGAAAGCCAGGGGAGCAAACGGG
rnacentral:rRNA from 1 species